GUGGACUGGGUGGUUACUGGACAGGUUGUUUUCUCUGUAGGUUGUUUUCUGAGAGUAUAUAGAUGUGGGCUUGCUUAUCGAGUGAGGGGACAGAAAACGUUCGGUUCAAACGGAGACGCGUGUGCUUGGAUCGUCAAUUUAUAUAUUUUUUUGACGAAAUCGCCAAUUCUUUUAGCCGUUCGAGGAGGCACGACCCCUUUUUUUUGGUCUUCUGUUUACGAGGUACGACCAUGGCGCAUGGGCAUGGGCUCCGUUUCCAGCACGUCGAGGCGGCCAUGUUGUUUAGCAGACCGCGCCGUUCUGUCGGGUUCUAUACUUCUAUGGCAUUUGUCACCAAACGGGAGCAGUUGGAGGCGAAGUGGUGAGCUCUUGCUGCGCCAGGGCGUAUCUGGAGAUUAAUUAAAAAAAAUGUACAGUCACAAUGACGGCACUACUCCGGGCGCAUGGCUGGCGAGAACCCACUGCUUGCUGCACUACUGCACGUCGCGGCUGAAUGGAAUGCAGUAAAAAGCGACGUGUACGAUUUGACCGCCGCAUUGACCGAUUAUUUGUUGAUGUACUGUUGGCGGCAGCCCUGCUUCACGCUUCUGUACUACAUGCUGCGGGAACUGCUUUCCCGCCACCGUGUUCCGCUACACACCCGAAAACUGGCUGGAGUUUCCCGCCAGUUUUUAUGGAACCAUGUAAAAAAGGGCUGAAAUUUGGUAGGAUAUCCGGAAUGCUUUAUGUAUUGCUUGUAUAUCCAUGCUCAAAAGCUGUGUCAAGCGAGCCUCGG
rnacentral:lncRNA from 7 species